CACAGAUGUAUUGCUUCAAGCAGUGAAUUAUCAUAUGCAUUAAUUUAAAAUCAGGUAUGAAAAACUAUCCAAGAUUUUUUUAAAUUACAUACCAAAAAUGUGGACUUCUAUCAACUAUCAAUAUGGUUGAUAGUUGUUACAGUUGAUUAAUUAUUUACAGUCUAUUGUUCUUCUUCUAAUAAAAUAAUAGUUGAAAGGAAAAAUUGUUGUAUAAAGGAGUAUGGGUGGUC
rnacentral:lncRNA from 1 species